ACGGGUGCGUAACGCGUGGGAAUCUGCCCUUGGGUUCGGAAUAACAGUUAGAAAUGACUGCUAAUACCGGAUGAUGACUUCGGUCCAAAGAUUUAUCGCCCAGGGAUGAGCCCGCGUCGGAUUAGCUAGUUGGUGAGGUAAAAGCUCACCAAGGCGACGAUCCGUAGCAGGUCUGAGAGGAUGAUCAGCCACACUGGGACUGAGACACGGCCCAGACUCCUACGGGAGGCAGCAGUGGGGAAUAUUGGACAAUGGGGGAAACCCUGAUCCAGCAAUGCCGCGUGAGUGAUGAAGGCCUUAGGGUUGUAAAGCUCUUUCACCCGGGAUGACAAUGACAGUACCGGGAGAAUAAGCCCCGGCUAACUCCGUGCCAGCAGCCGCGGUAAUACGGAGGGGGCUAGCGUUGUUCGGAAUUACUGGGCGUAAAGCGCACGUAGGCGGCUUUGUAAGUUAGAGGUGAAAGCCCGGGGCUCAACUCCGGAAUUGCCUUUAAGACUGCAUCGCUAGAAUUGUGGAGAGGUAAGUGGAAUCCCGAGUGUAGAGGUGAAAUUCGUAGA
rnacentral:rRNA from 1 species